rnacentral:lncRNA from 1 species
GGUGGCACGUGGCUCUGUUAGCCCUUGCUCUUGAACACUGUCAGCAUAUCUGCGGAAUUCGGUGUCGCCAGGGAGAGAACGGGACUUCGGAGCAGGCCUGACUGGCUUUGUACAGGAAAAGUCCUUGGAAAUCUGCACUAGCUUCUCUGAGCAAAAGUGUCUGGGAGUUCUCCAAGGCUUUAACCUCAAGAGGAUUACAGUAUUAAGAGCAAAGGAACACAGAGAAGCAGAGUGGCUGGAUGAAUUUGGGGGUGUCUCAGGACUGACAGUGAAAAGGUGCUUGGGAAGCUGAUAAAGUGAGUAAUAUUUGUCAUGUUCUUUGGAGAUUUAUGUUUUUCUGUGAUAGAUUUUUGUUCCAGCCAGUCACUUUAUGGAACAGCACAGAAAUACUGAC